GAUGAACGCUGGCGGCGUGCCUAACACAUGCAAGUCGAGGGAGGAGCUUUCGGGCUUCGACCGGCGUACGGGUGCGUAACGCGUAUACAAUCUGCCUUUCACAUAGGGAUAGCCCGAAGAAAUUUGGAUUAAUACCUAAUGGUAUAUAGGAGUGGCAUCACAUUUAUAUUAAAGCUGAGGCGGUGAAAGAUGAGUAUGCGUUCUAUUAGCUAGUUGGAGAGGUAACGGCUCCCCAAGGCGACGAUAGAUAGGGGUUCUGAGAGGGAUAUCCCCCACACUGGUACUGAGAUACGGACCAGACUCCUACGGGAGGCAGCAGUGAGGAAUAUUGGACAAUGGUCGGAAGACUGAUCCAGCCAUGCCGCGUGCAGGAAGACGGCCUUAUGGGUUGUAAACUGCUUUUGCAGGGGAAGAAUAAGGAGUACGUGUACUUUGAUGACGGUACUCUGCGAAUAAGCAUCGGCUAACUCCGUGCCAGCAGCCGCGGUAAUACGGAGGAUGCGAGCGUUAUCCGGAAUCAUUGGGUUUAAAGGGUCCGUAGGCGGGCUAAUAAGUCAGAGGUGAAAGCGCUCAGCUCAACUGAGCAACUGCCUUUGAAACUGUUAGUCUUGAAUGGUUGUGAAGUAGUUGGAAUGUGUAGUGUAGCGGUGAAAUGCUUAGAUAUUACACAGAACACCGAUAGCGAAGGCAUAUUACUAACAAUUAAUUGACGCUGAUGGACGAAAGCGUGGGGAGCGAACAGG
rnacentral:rRNA from 1 species